rnacentral:rRNA from 1 species
UACAGAGGGUGCGAGCGUUAAUCGGAAUUACUGGGCGUAAAGCGUGCGUAGACGGCUAUCUAAGUCGGGUGUGAAAGCCCCGGGCUCAACCUGGGAAUGGCAGUGGAAACUAGGGGACUGGAAUCUGGCAGAGGGGGGUGGAAUGCCGCGUGUAGCAGUGAAAUGCGUAGAGAUGCGGCGGAACACCGAUGGCGAAGGCAGCCCCCUGGGCUGAGAUUGACGCUCAGGCACGAAAGCGUGGGGAGCAAACAGG